UUAAAAGAAGCCAAAAAGAGGCAUAUUACUGUUAAUAAUAAAAUUGAAUAAAUUUAUUCCUUUUAAA
rnacentral:tRNA from 1 species